UACGAAGGGGGCAAGCGUUGUUCGGAAUGACUGGGCGUAAAGGGCGCGUAGGCGGUUCGUUGCGUCAGAUGUGAAAGCCCCGGGCUCAACCUGGGAACUGCAUUUGAUACGGGCGGGCUUGAAUCCAAGAGAGGGUGGUGGAAUUCCCAGUGUAGAGGUGAAAUUCGUAGAUAUUGGGAAGAACACCAGUGGCGAAGGCGGCCACCUGGCUUGGUAUUGACGCUGAGGCGGCGAAAAGCGUGGGGGAGCAAACAGG
rnacentral:rRNA from 1 species